rnacentral:rRNA from 1 species
GAUGAACGCUGGCGGCGUGCCUAAUACAUGCAAGUCGAGCGAAUGGAUUAAGAGCUUGCUCUUAUGAAGUUAGCGGCGGACGGGUGAGUAACACGUGGGUAACCUGCCCAUAAGACUGGGAUAACUCCGGGAAACCGGGGCUCAUACCGGAUAACAUUUUGAACCGCAUGGUUCGAAAUUGAAAGGCGGCUUCGGCUGUCACUUAUGGAUGGAGCCCCGUCGCAUUAGCUAGUUGGUGAGGGAACGGCUCACCAAGGCAACGAGGCUGAGCCGACCUGAGAGGGUGAUCGGCCACACUGGGACUGAGACACGGCCCAGACUCCUACGGGAGGCAGCAGUAGGGAAUCUUCCGCAAUGGACGAAAGUCUGACGGAGCAACGCCGCGUGAGUGAUGAAGGCUUUCGGGUCGUAAAGCUCUGUUGCUAGGGAAGAACAAGUGCUAGUUGAAUAAGCUGACACCUUGACGGUACCUAACCAGAAAGCCACGGCUAACUACGUGCCAGCCGCCGCGGUAA